rnacentral:lncRNA from 1 species
CGUGAUCCCCAGGAGCCCAAAGCGUGCCUGGUCCCCUUGGAGGUGGCAGAACCGAGUCAACAGCCCCAGGAGUUGCCAGAAGCUUCCUCUGAACCCCCACCAUUAAGCUAAACUAAAGUUCUUUAGGGGGAGGGGGAGCCUGGGAAGAAGGGAAGAGAGAAGCAAGGAGAUGCUGACGGAGAGAAGACCGCUAAAGACUAGUCACGUGGGUAGAGGAGCGCUUGCUGUCUCCCUCCUCCCAGCGGCAUUUUCAUCUGGAGCACUUGAUGAAGACUUACUUGUGUGGGACUUGCCGUUCUUGCAAGGCUGUGUUAGCCACAGAUACCCUUGAGUAAGGGAGAUAGCGCCUUGGAUCUGAUUGCCCAGGCUUAGGUGAUGGCUUUAGGGCUGGCUGCAGCAGCCUCUUAGUGUGUCGGGCUGGGCUGGCCUGCAGCAAGGGCUGCUCUUCUCCCUCUGGGCAACAGGUCAGCAAAGCAGGGAGAAAGGAGGUGGAAGUGCUUGGGAGGCCUGCCCAGGCUCCUUGCUGACUCAGCACUUAUUUCUGUAGUUUUAAGAGAAUUGAUUUUUUUUUUUGAGGGUGGGGUGGGGUGGGGUGGGGAAAGCCAUUAAAGGCAGAGAAAAAAGAAAAAAAAAAAGAAAA